GGAUGCGAUCAUACCAGCACUAAAGCAUCGGAUCCCAUCAGAACUCCGUAGUUAAGCGUGCUUGGGCGAGAGUAGUACUAGGAUGGGUGACCUCCUGGGAAGUCCUCGUGUUGCAUUCC
rnacentral:rRNA from 1 species